rnacentral:lncRNA from 10 species
GUCUCCUCUCACCACUCCCAUCUGGGCGUCACAAUCCCGGACAGAUAGCCCUGCGGCUCCGGUUUCCAUGGCAAUGGCCGCUUGCCGCAAGGAGGACAGGGCCUCUAAGCAGGGUCUUCAGAGACACCCCAGUCUCUUUUCUUUUUAUCUUUCUUCAUAGUCAUUUAUUUUCCAAGGCCUAAUUCUUAUCUUUCUUGACUUUUAAAAAUGUUCUGUUACAAGAUAUCUAUUUUAUGUUUCAAUUAUUGGACCACGUUAAACAAGAUCUAUGAAUACUUCUAUUUCAUCAGUGUUGCAGAACAGGGCUUACACUUUCCCUGCAAAAUAGCAAUAUCACAUUCUAAGUUGGGGAACAGCAUUUGGCUCAUGUGAUAUGCUAAUCUCUAUAAAACUGGAGCGAGAUAUGGGAUUUGGCUGGGCUUGGUGGACUGGCCUGAUACUUCUUUGUUGAUUGUAACCAUAAAAUUAUUUUCCUGCUUACAAACACAUCAGGGCUGGUUGUAAGAGAGCAUUGCUAACUGAUAUAUAGCCCUUUAUCUUGAAGUUGGCCUGUGGUGGACAGUUGUGACUAAUUUAGCUGUGUCAUAGUCCAUUUGUACAUACAGCUCAAAUGACUUACCGCAUGAGUCUAUUUUAUUACCUGAAACAACAGUUCAAAUUAUUUUGUUUACUUUCUUCAAAAAAAAAUGCCUACAUGCUUUGUGAACUACAAAUCACUUUGACCACUACCGAUGCUGUCUUCCCAGUAAUAUUAAACAUUCUGAAACAAGUUAAUGCUACAUGGUAAUUGGGCCAAAAAUUGAGACAGUUUUGCUCUGUCACCCAGGCUGGAGAGUCCCAGGCCUCUGCUUCCUGGGUUCAAGUGAUUCUUGUGCCUUAGCCUACCGAGUAGCUGGGAUUACAGGAACGCACCACCACACCUGGCGAAUUCUUGUAUUUUUAGUAGAGACAGGAUUUCACCAUGUUGGCCAGGCUGGUCUCAAACUCCUGACCUCAGGUGAUCCACCGGCCUCGGCCUCCCAAAGUGCUGGGAUUACAUGCACGAGCCACAGCACUCAGCCCAAAAAUUAAUUUCUAAAAUGUAACCUGACAUUUGCAUUUCCUUCCAGCUAAGAUUUUUAUAGAAUUUGGCUGAAAAUUGAAAAGAACUAUAGCCUAAAACUAACAAAUUGUUUCACAGAGUAGCCAAUUGACUCACAUACUUUGCUCUCAUUCCAUCAUCAUUUUGGUAUGUGUUCAAAGGUGUGCUGUGAUUACGAACAAAGAUGAAAUAGAUACCAGGCUGCUUAUGAUGGUCAAGGAAAUGAUAACCUCAAAACACAACACACGUUUCUUUUCUCAGUUGUCAUAAUCAAAUUAUUUUGCAUUACUUAAAUUGUCAGUCCCCACAAAGCUAUCUGGAAGAAAAUAGAACACGAAUACUAAAUAAAUAUGAAAACUGUUUGUUGGGGGCAGCUCAGCUGGGCUAACGGAGAAGCUUUGUAAUCUAUGUAGUAAUGUGGAGGCCCUAAACUAGUAUUGGAGUCUACUUAUUUCAUAAGUAUACACUUCUUAAACUUUAAAACUAAGUACAAUUAACAAAAUAAUUUCAGACACUAUUUUCUUUUCUUUUUUUUAUUUUUAUUUUUUUUGAGACGGAGUUUUGCUCUUGUUGCCCAGGCUGGAGUGCAGUGGCGCGAUCUUGGUUCACCACAACCUCCGCCUCCCAGGUUCAAGCCAUUCUCCUGCCUCAGUCUCAUGAGUAGCUGGGAUUACAGGCUCGCGCCACCAUGCCCAGCUAAUUUUUUGUAUUUUUAGUAGAGACGAGGUUUCACCAUGUUGGCCAGGCUGGUCUCAAACUCUCGACCUCAGGUGACCCACCCACCUCGGCCUCCCAAAGUGCAGGGAUAACAGGCAUGAGCCACCGCGCCCGGCCUCAGACACUAUUUUCAAAGACAAGCAUGACCCGUGUUAAAUAGAUUCAUUUAUUUAUUCUUCAUAUUCUGUGACACCUGUUAGUCUGAGGGAUGUUGGAUGUUUUAAAAUUCCGCUAUGGAGCUUUUCCUGGAUAGAUAACGUUUUCUCCCCUUGAGUUUGGAAGCAGGUCACUUUCAGAUCCCACUUGUCUCUACUUUUCCUUUUUUUUUUUUUUUUUUUUAACACACUGAUGGAGGCAAUUUUCCUUGUUAUUUAGUGAAGAAAAUGUGCAAUGGACUUGCCCAAUAACACACUCUCUUUCCACCGCUGGGAAAACACCCUGGAUGUUAAGAACUAGUUAAUGUUCAAAUUUCUCAAUUCAGUAGUCAAAGCCCUUUCUAAUCUAAGCCUGCCUUUCAAAUCUCAUUCAUUCAUUUAUUCAUCAGAUUUUUAUUAAGAAUCUAUAGUGUGUUAGGCAUUUUCACCUAUAUAAACCCUCAGUUCUGACCAAACAAAGCAAACGCUUUUGGUAAAUACAAAAUGUACAUUCCUGUUUCCUUACCUUUGCUCAUGCCAUUCCUCUCUCUUGAGAAGCCUGACUCCUCUCUGCUUCCUGAAUUCUAUCCGAGCUUCAAGACUCAGCUUGAUUAAUUUAAAAACGGGAUCAACUGAGCAUCCAAUCUGUGUCAGGUAUGGUCCUAGCAGUGUAGAUCCAUCACAAUACAGGGCCUGAUUUCCAAGAGCUUAUACUUUGGUCAGAGAGAUAGAUAACCUUGGAAGAGUCCAGAAGAGAGGGUAUGAUUCAUUGUUUUAGGUGAGUGUUUGGGGGCCAGGGGCAGUAGGUGUAUGUCAUGGAAGGCUUAAUAGAAAACGUGACUGGGAAAAGUCUUUUUGUUUUUAUUACUUAUUAUUUAUAGUGUCCAAGUUUGUGUUUUGAAAAAUAUCAAACCUACAUAAAAGCUGCAAGAACAGAACAAUGAGCAUCUGUUUACCCUUCACCUAUAGUUCUAUUGUUAACACUUCACCACAUUUGCUUUAUCUAUUUUGAUAUACAGACACACAUAUUUAUUUAUUUGCUUGUUUCUUUUUGCUGAAACAUUGAGAGUUUCUUGUAGAUAUAGCAACAAUUUAGCCCUUCAGCACAUAUCUCCAAAGAACAAGUACAUGCUCUUCCAUAACCACAGUACAAUGACCAUACUCAGGAAAUUUAACAUUGGCCCCAUAUUAUCAUCUAACACGUAAUCCAUAUUCAAAUUUCACCAAGUCUUUUAAUAAUAUUAUUUAUAGCUGUUUUUUUCUUUUGAUCCAAGAUUGAAUCAAGGAUCACACAUUGCAUUUAGCCGUCAUGCUUCUUUAGCAUCUUUAAAUUUGGAGCUGUUGCUGAGUCUUUUAUUUUGUUUCGGUCUUGCUGGACAUUGGCAUUUUUAAGAGUUCAGGCCAGUUUUGCAGAACAUCUUUCAAGAUGUAUUUGUUUGACUGUUCCCUCGGGAUUAGAUUCAGGUGAAAUUUUUUUUGCAAGAAGACCACCAGAGUGUGUGAUUCUCAGUACAUCGUACCAGGGGCAUAUGUUAUUUGUCUGUUCCAUUAAUGGUGAUGAGAAUUUUUUUCUUUUCUCUUUCAAUAGCUUUAGGAGUACUAGCGGUUUGGGGUUACAUGGAUGAAUUGUAUAAUGGCAAAGUCUGAAAUUUUAGUGCACCCAUCACCUGAGUAGUGUACAUUCUUCCCAAUAUGUAGUUUUUAAAUCUCUCCCCACUCUCAUCCUCGCCCAUUAUGAGUCUCCAAUGUCCAUUAUACUAGUCUACAUGCCUUUGUGUACCCAUAGCUUAGCUCCGACUUAUGAGAACAUGCGACCAGGCAU